rnacentral:rRNA from 1 species
GGCAACAGCUCAAAUUUGAAAUCUGGCCCCCUCGGGGCCCGAGUUGUAAUUUGGAGAAGAUGCUUCGGGUGUGGCCCCGGUCUAAGUUCCUUGGAACAGGACGUCUCAGAGGGUGAGAACCCCGUAC